GCUUCUUUCCAUAUUUACCCCUACCUGUAUAAUGAGAAAUCAAUUUUUUCAUUCUUUUCUUUUGAGAUUAAAAUUCUUUCCUUCUUCCUCCAACGACGGCCACCACCACUGCUCCUCCGCCGCUGCAAAUAGAUUCAGGAACACCUCCAUUAAUCUCCCACCACUAAUUCUAGCACAACCUUCUGUACUUUCAUCAAUUCCACUACCACCUCCUAUACUGAAUUCCCCAACGAAUCUAAAGCUCAGAUCCAUUUUCAAUAUAAAUUGGAUUUGUCUUGAAGAACGUAAAAUUGAUGAUAACAGAUAGUUCUUAAGGAUUUGUCUGCAUAGAUUUAUGAAGAGAAGAUGAAAAUUGUCAUCUGGUAUUGGAUCGAAAAAUUCACUUGUCAACAACCCUUAUUUCAGUUUUUAUUCUUCUUCAGAUCCAUCAUUAAUUCAGUGUUCGGUGGUGGUGGUGUAGCAUGUAUAGUGGUGGUGGGUGGUUGAGAUUGUGCUUGUGGUAGUGAUGAUUGGAUUGUUGCAUUUCCAUAUAAUUGAAAUUGAUUGUUGAUUUUUAAUUUAUAAUCUUUGAUGUUGUGGUAAUUGUGGUGGUGGUGGAAGGUGGUGUUAUUACAACGGGAGGUGAUGGAUGUUGCAAAUAAUGUUGGUGAAUGUUGUUCUUGUUUUGGUGGUGGAUGUUUGUUGCGCUGCAGCCUACAGGUGAUGGUGGUGGCGAUGAAAUGGAGGAGCAAUUGAAGAAUGAAACUGAGGUGGUGAUGGUGACAAAUAGGAAUAAAGCAGCUGAAAUGGGGAAAUAAAUAUACAAUGAAAUUGAGGUGGUGGUGGUGGUGACUAAUAAGAAGAAAUUUACUGAAAUGGGGGAACAUACAGCAGCCGCAGAUUAAAAAAAUGGAAAUUCUUCGGCGACAUAUGCAAUAAUGAGUAGUGUUGCACCUUUGUAUGAAAUGAAUGAUCCUUUAACAUUCAUCACUUUAUGAAAUGAAUGUUUCUUUGCUUAAGAAUCGUGCUUUGUAGCAUUCAAUGAGACCAUGGUGGAUUUCAAAAUUAAAUCAGGAAAUUAUGGAUGCUAAAGAACAGAUUGAGAAUGCUCCAAUUAUAAAGAAGGACCGAGAGCUUUAUGCUCAUACUAACCAUAACAUGUUGGUGUUCAAAAGGUAUAUUCUGUUAGGUUUUAGGGCCAAAGACAUUUUUUUAUUUGUUUACGUGAAUUCAAGUGAUUUGUUUGCCUUGAUGGUAAAUUUGAUGUUCUUGGUUAUAAAAGUCUGCAUUAAGCCAUAAGAGAUUUUAUGCAGAUGCAUUAUUUACUCAUAUCUUCACCUUACGUAACACCUGACUCCUUGUCCAACUUAGUAUAGGGAAAUGUGGAUUUCGUUUUUUAUGUAUGCUCAUUUCAUUUAGCUUAUCUUUGUUGGAAAUCUUUUGUAUUUCGGCAAAUAUAUCUUGAUUCAUGAAGCUAGAGUAUUCUCUAGCUUUUUCUUUGCUGAAUAAUUUUGAUUGAUGGAGCUAGAGUAAGAAAUGCAAGCAGGUUUAGAAUUUCUGUCGCCCCCCACAGCGCGGUCAUCUAAUUUAAUGUAAAUUGUUAUGAGUUUAGGUUUCUAAUCGCCAUUAUAUUAUUUUGGCAUGAGGUGAUGGUGAAUACUAAGGUGGAGGAGAUCAUGGCAGUGGACGUGGGCGGUGGAAGUAGCAGGGAUACGGUGAUACGGUUGGGGUUUAAGCCCUCGUGGUGCAGUGUUCUUGUUUGGUAGCCAACAAGGCUCUAGCUCUAGGUCUGAUUAUAUGUUUUUUGAAGUUUCUCAUUUUAUAAGUAAUAAUAGACUGCCCUCAUGGGAUCAACUUUUGUUGUUGACUCGAGUUCAUGGGAUCAACUUUCGUUGUUGAUACAAGCUUAUGGGAUCAACUUUCCUUGUUGACGCAAAUUUAUGGGAUCAACUUGGGUUGUUGACACCAUAAUAUGAUAACAACAAGGUUAUGCAUUCCCAAUUUACGGUCAACUUGGGUUAUUGACACCACUUUUGUGAUGUUUGUUGAUACCUUCAUCUAGAAAACGUAACAAUUGACAUUUUUUUGGA